UCUGCGGCGUGUGGCGGUGAGAUGUCUCACAGGAAAUUCUCCGCUCCCAGGCAUGGCUCCUUGGGCUUCUUGCCUCAGAAGCGCAGCAGCAGGCACUGUGGGAAGGUGAAGAGCUUCCCUAAGGAUGACCCUUCCAAGCCUGUUCACCUCACAGCCUUUCUAGGGUACAAGGCUGGCAUGACCCACAUCGUCUGGGAAGUCGACAGGCCAGGAUCUAAGGUGAAUAAGAAAGAAGUCGUGGAGGCUGUAACCAUUGUGGAAACCCCACCCAUGGUGGUUGUGGGCAUUGUGGGAUAUGUAGAAACCCCUCGUGGCCUGCGGACCUUCAAGACUGUACUUGCUACGCAUAUCAGUGAUGUGAUAAGUGUAAGAGGCACUUCUAUAAGAACUGGCACAAAUCUAAGAAGAAGGCUUUCACCAAGUACUGUAAGAAAUGGCAGUAUGACACAGGCAAGAAACAGCUGGAGAAGGACUUCAACAGCAUGAAGAAGUACUGCCAGGUUAUCCGCAUAAUUGCCCACACUCAGAUGCAUCUACUGAGGGGUGACCAUUCGUUGGCAUACAAAGAAACUGCCCUGAAAGACCCAUCGAGGUCUGCUCAAAGUUGCCUGUAUUGGAGCCUGGCACCCUGCUCGUGUAGCCUUCUCUGUGGUUUGAGCUGGGCAGAAAGGCUACCAUCACUGGACAGAGAUUAACAAGAAGAUUUACAAGAUUGGUCAAGGCUACCUCAUCAAGGAUGGUAAACUGAUCAAGAACAACGCAUCUACUGACUAUGACCUCUCAGACAAGAGCAUCAACACACUGGGUAGCUUUGUCCAUUAUGGUGAGGUGACCAAUGACUUUAUCAUGCUCAAGGGCUGUGUGGUGGGAACCAAGAAGCGAGUGCUUACUCUUUGUAAGUCCUUACUGGUCCAGACCAAAAGUUGGGCUCUGGAGAAGAUUGACCUGAAGUUCAUUGACACCACCUCCAAGUUCGGCCAUGGUCGUUUCCAGACCAUGGAGGAGAAGAAAGCAUUCAUGGGGCCACUCAAGAAAGAUCGCAUUGCCAAGGAGGAAGGUGCUUGAUUCCAGGAUGUGCAGUUGGAGUCUCAUCAAUAAAAUGUUUCCAGUAAAAAAAA